GACGAACGCUGGCGGCGUGCCUAAUACAUGCAAGUCGAACGCAGUGGGGACGGGUGAGUAACCCGUGGGUAACCUCCCAUCACUGGGGAUACCACUUGGAAACACGUGCUAUACCCAUACUGUUGGCUGGACCGGUGGUGCAUUAGCUAGUUGGUGAGGUAACGGCUCACCAAGGCCACGAUGCAUAGCCGAUCUGAGAGGGGGAUCGGCCACACUGGGACUGAGACACGGCCCAGACUCCUACGGGAGGCAGCAGUAGGGAAUCUUCGGCAAUGGACGAAAGUCUGACCGAGCAACGCCGCGUGAGUGAAGAAGGUUUUCGGAUCGUAAAACUCUGUUGUUAGAGAAGCGUUAUCGAACCAGAAAGCCACGGCUAACUACGUGCCAGCCGCCGCGGUAAUAC
rnacentral:rRNA from 1 species